UACAGAGGGUGCAAGCGUUAAUCGGAGUUACUGGGCGUAAAGGGCGCGUAGGCGGUUAUAUAAGUUAGAUGUGAAAGCCCUGGGCUUAACCUAGGAACGGCAUCUAAGACUGUAUGACUGGAGUACUGUAGAGGGUAGUGGAAUUUCCGGUGUAGCGGUGAAAUGCGUAGAGAUCGGAAGGAACACCAGUGGCGAAGGCGGCUACCUGGACAGAUACUGACGCUGAGGCGCGAGAGCGUGGGGAGCAAACAGG
rnacentral:rRNA from 1 species